AGCUCUGUGGUGUACCGCACGUUAGAUUGCAAAUCUAAAGAAGUAGGCUUAUAGCCUGCCGGGGCUU
rnacentral:tRNA from 1 species